AGUGAACGCUGGCGGUAGGCCUAACACAUGCAAGUCGAACGGCAGCACAGUAAGAGCUUGCUCUUACGGGUGGCGAGUGGCGGACGGGUGAGGAAUACAUCGGAAUCUACUUUUUCGUGGGGGAUAACGUAGGGAAACUUACGCUAAUACCGCAUACGACCUACGGGUGAAAGCAGGGGAUCUUCGGACCUUGCGCGAUUGAAUGAGCCGAUGUCGGAUUAGCUAGUUGGCGGGGUAAAGGCCCACCAAGGCGACGAUCCGUAGCUGGUCUGAGAGGAUGAUCAGCCACACUGGAACUGAGACACGGUCCAGACUCCUACGGGAGGCAGCAGUGGGGAAUAUUGGACAAUGGGCGCAAGCCUGAUCCAGCAAUACCGCGUGGGUGAAGAAGGCCUUCGGGUUGUAAAGCCCUUUUGUUGGGAAAGAAAAGCAGCAGGUUAAUACCACGCUGUUCUGACGGUACCCAAAGAAUAAGCACCGGCUAACUUCGUG
rnacentral:rRNA from 1 species